UACGAAGGGGGCUAGCGUUGCUCGGAAUGACUGGGCGUAAAGGGCGUGUAGGCGGUUUACACAGUCAGAUGUGAAAUCCCCGGGCUUAACCUGGGAGCUGCAUUUGAUACGUGUAGACUAGAGUGUGAGAGAGGGUUGUGGAAUUCCCAGUGUAGAGGUGAAAUUCGUAGAUAUUGGGAAGAACACCGGUGGCGAAGGCGGCAACCUGGCUCAUGACUGACGCUGAGGCGCGAAAGCGUGGGGAGCAAACAGG
rnacentral:misc_RNA from 1 species